rnacentral:tRNA from 1 species
AAGUAAGAAGCAAAAAUUUGCAUUUAGUUUCGACCUAAAAGUUUGAUAAGUUUAUCCUUACUUU